rnacentral:rRNA from 1 species
UGAGGAAUAUUCCACAAUGGGCGAAAGCCUGAUGGAGCGACGCCGCGUGAAGGAAGAAGGCCUUCGGGUUGUAAACUUCUUUUUUUGGGGAUGACACACUUCCGCAAGGGAGUUACGACAGUACCCAAAGAAUAAGCCUCGGCUAACUACGUGCCAGCAGCCGCGGUAAUACGUAGGAGGCGAGCGUUGUCCGGAUUUACUGGGCGUAAAGCGCGCGCAGGCGGCACUUCAAGUACGGUGUGAAAUCUCCCUGCUCAACGGGGAGGGUGCAUUGUAAACUGGAGAGCUAGAGGACGGUAGAGGGGGGUAGAAUUGCUGGUGUAGCGGUGAAAUGCGUAGAGAUCAGCAGGAAUACCCGUGGCGAAGGCGGCCCCCUGGGCCGAACCUGACGCUGAGGCGCGAAGGCUAGGGGAGCGAACGG